ACUCCUACGGGAGGCAGCAGUGGGGAAUCUUAGACAAUGGGGGAAACCCUGAUCUAGCCAUGCCGCGUGGACGAUGAAGGCCUUAGGGUUGUAAAAGUCCUUUUCAGCUGGGAAGAUAAUGACGGUACCAGCAGAAGAAGCCCCGCUAACUCCCGUGCCAGCAGCCGCGGUAAUACGGAGGGGGCUAGCGUUGUUCGGGAAUUACUGGGCGUAAAGCGCACGUAGGCGGACUAUUAAGUCAGGGGUGAAAU
rnacentral:rRNA from 1 species